AUCACUUCUCGGCCUUUUGGCUAAGAUCAAGUGCAGUAUCUGUUCUUAUAAGGUUAACAUCUGAUAUGUCCUCUAUCUGAGGACAAUGUAUUAAAUGAAUUUUUGCAGCAGGAAGUUGGAGUAGGAGCUUACUCCAUCCACUUCAAGCAUUGGCCUGGUAUUGCAGCACUUCCAGAAAGGAAAAAAAAAUU